UAUUUAAUCGAUAACAUGAUAUUCACAAGAUAAUAUUUUACAUAUUUAAGUUGUUUAAAUUAAUGAUAUAUAAAUGAGGGUGAUUAUUAGAUUGGUGAAGUUAAUUUGAUUAGUUAAACUAAACAAUUGACGAGAAAUUAAACUAGUUGUGGGAAUCAUUUGUUUUCCUUGCGUUGUAAUUCAACUAAAAUUUUACUUUUGCACGGAAAACAUUCCUAAUUGCUAUGCAGCUCCAAAGUAUCAGUAUUCUUGUAUUACACCUUCAUUGAUGAUAAUUCUUGCGUGCAGAAUAGCUUUAGAUUACACAGAUCACUGUACUUGCCGUUCAUGUGUAACUUGCUUUAGCGUGCUAAAAUUUAUAUGGUAUAUCUUCUACUCACUAUGUCCUGUAAAUAUAGGACAAUUUAUUAUUUAAUUUUCUUUGGAAAAAUAUAUUAAUUGAUUUUUAAUAUCAACUUGGAGAGAAAUAUUUUGAGUUAAAUGCAAAAAAAUAUUGAGAUGUUGUCCUGCUCCGCUUUAAGGAAAUGACAUGGGAUAUGGCAAAGCAGGACAUAGCAGAAGUGACAGAACCCAUGGCUGUUAUAAACUUGAAGGGUGUUGCAUCAAGCAGCAUUUAUCCCAGGAAACAAACGCAGUUUAGUUUGCCAAGAUGCCCCUAUGUAAUGGACCUAAUAAGAUCUCUUGGAUUUUAAUCUAUUUUCUUAUAAGAUGAUAGAGAAAGAAAAAAAAAUGUAGAGCGCAAAGAUAAUGAUUUAAUUUUACGAAACUUUUAUUAUUCUUACCGAUGAGAUUCAGUAGGAUCACCAGAUAUGAAUAUUGUGAUUUGAUUAGAUAGAUAAAUCAAUAAGUAUGUGAUUUGAU